rnacentral:lncRNA from 1 species
CCUUCCGGAAGCACAUCUCCCAGCAGAAGGCAGAGGAGACACAUACGAAAGAGCUGGCUUCAUAAUUACUGAAUUACAAACUGCCAGGUGUGCUGUAGAAGAGAAGUCCAGGUUUCCAUAAGAGGAGAAGGUGUUUUGGUAUCCACUCUGGUGAAACAUGGUACAGAAUACCCUGAAACGCCAUGUGACAAUGUCAACAAAAUAUCCUCAGAAGUGGAGUGAUCCUGUUACCCAAGAUUACACACCCAAGGAGGAGGAAGGAGCUACAAUCUUGCCAUUUUGUGUCUUCAGCAGCUUCUGAACACAUCUGCUGGCUCAUGUGUCCUCUCUAAUGAAGCUGAAUUUGUCCUUGAACGCGUCUCAUAGCCAAUUUACAGAGAAUUAAAAUGUCACGAGGUGAGUUGUUUAAUGAGGUCAAUUAUUUAAUUUCUGGUACUAUUUUGAGGUUACAGGGCUAAAAGUAGCUUUUAAAAGUCUGUCAUUUAAGGGUGCCUGGCUGACUCAGUUGGUGAAACAUGGGACUCUUGGUCUCAGGGUUGUGAGUUCAAGCACCAUGUUGGUGUAGAGAUUACUUAAAAAUAAAAUAUUGGGACGCCAGGUGGCUCAGUGGUUGAGCAUCUGCCUUUGGCUCAGGGCAAGAUCCCAGGAUCCUGGGAUUGACUCCCGCAUCAGGUUCCCCACAGGCAGUCUGCUUCUCCCUGUGCCUGUGUCUCUGCCUGUCUCUCAUGAAUAAAUAAAUAAAAUCUGUAAAAAAAAAAAAAUUAUAAUAAUAAAAGUAAAAACUUUAAAAAUAAAUACAUAUAGGGAUGCCUUGGAGGCUCUGUCAUUUAGGGAUCUGGCUCUUGAUCUCAGCUCAGGUCUUGACCUUGGGGUUGUGAGUUCAUUGCUCUGAGCUGGACAUGGAACCUACUUAAAAAUUAAAAAUAAAUUUAAAAAUAAAGUCUGUCUUUUAUAAACUUCUUUUACCCUUUUGCUCAACUGUUGUUGGCAACACACCAGUAACAUCUGAAGUGAACAUAGGUUCAUGAGUGGAUGUAUCCUGCCAAAUCAAAGGUAGUCUGGUAUUCUUUCAAAAACAAGACUAAAUAAAUGAAAUAAAAUAAAAAUCAAAUUUAAAAAAUUAAAAUUAGGGCAGCCCUGGUGGCUCAGCGGUUUAGUGCUGCCUUCAGCCCAGGGUGUGAUCCUGGAGACCCCAGAUCGAGUCCCACAUCAGGCACCCUGCAUGGAGCCUGCUUCUCCCUCGGCCUGUAUCUCUGCCUCUC